UACAACUCAGCAAUUGCACUACUAGGUAUUUAUCCAAGGGAUACAGGUAUGCUGUUUCUGAGGGACAAAUGCACCCCAAUGUUUACAGCAGCACUAUCAACAAUAGCCAAA